CAGGAUGUAACUAAGAAUCCAAUCCACUGAUAAUGGAUAAUUUUCUCACAAUCUGGAACAAUGCAGAAUGGUCUUCAAAGUACAAAUGAAGACUUUGCUGUGCUUCCACUUAUUUCUUUUGCAAACUAGAUUACACACAUUCUGGUAGAACUUUGUAAAUCUUCUUGAGGAUCCCAGGUGGAAAACACUGUAAACUGGAGGAAAUAUGGGACAAUCCUUGGAAGAGAGCAAGAGGUGACUGAACGUGCAGCCAUGCAGCUAAGGCACCGAGUGGGCAUUCCAGCAGCCUGGAUAAUGAUUAUUUAUGGUGUGGCUAUGUCUAAAAUGACCUGGGCGCUUUCCAAAUACAAAGGAAAAAACAAUCCUUGUACCCAAGAACUGGAGUAUAAGAAACCAGAGAGACACAUAGUGAAGGCUGAUUGAGGACAACCUCAGCAAAGAAACAAGAUUUGAAAAGGAAAUGAAGAUGGAAAUCAACAAAGAAAAGGGGAGAAGUCAGAAGAAAAAACACAUGAUAAUGGACAUUUAAAAGGAUGUAAAUCAUCAACUGUGUGAAAUUUAACAAGGAAAAGUGCCAAAUUCUGCACCUGGAAGAUUCUGGACAUCUGCACAGACUGGGGAACGACAGGCCAGAGAGCAGCCCUGUGGAAAGUGAACUGAGAUUCCUCAUUGAUGGCAAGUUGAACAUGAGCCAGCAGUGCCCUGGCAGCCAGGAGGGCCAACCCUGUCUUGGGGUGCACCAGGCACAGCAUCACCAGCCAGGCAAAGGAGGGGAUUGUCCCGCUCUGCUCUGCACUGAGGCAGCCUCACCUCGAGUGCUGGGGCCAGUUUUGCAUGCCAUGAUACAAGAAGAAUAUAGAGCUAUUAGAAAGCAUCCAAGGACUGGCUACAAAGAUUGUGAAGGGCCUUGAGGGGAAGCAUUAAGGGAAUGCCUGAGGUCAUUUGGCGUGUCCAGCCUGGAGAGGAGACUGAGGGCAGACCUCAUUGUAGUUUAAAGCCUCCUUACAAGGGGAAGAGGAGGGACAGACCCUGCAUUCUUCUCUCUGGUGCCCAGUGACAGCACCAGAGGGAACAACA